UUCUGCUUGUUCGGGGUUAAUAAAGUGAACGUGGGUAUCGAUACCACCAGCUGUUACGAUUUUACCUUCAGCAGAGAUAAUAUCAGUUGUUGAACCAAUAAUAAUAUCUACGUUAUCCAUGAUAUCAGGGUUACCUGCUUUACCAAUGGCAAAGAUAUAACCAUUUUUAACACCGAUAUCUGCUUUAACAAUUUUGUCAUAAUCUAUAAUUAAUGCAUUUGUUAAUACUAAGUCAGCCACUUUGCGGUCAUCACGUGUAACGUUAGGGUUUUGAGCCAUGCCAUCACGAA
rfam:Staphylococcus sp. HMSC078E07 Staphylococcus_spHMPREF2905-1.0_Cont26.1, whole genome shotgun sequence.